UCAACAAUCAUUUUGAAUUCAAGCAUCAACGAUACAAUUCAAGCAUCAACGGCGUACCUUUCUAUUUUGUUCUAUUGGCAUUUUUUCUUUUUACAAGGUAAGACGAGAUUUAUCCUCACUAGAAAACCUGACAAAUUCUAACAAGAUUAGAAAGAUUACAUGUCUGGCACAUCAAAAAAAUUGGAUUUUUAACUUCACAGACAAAUUAACAAAUUAGCGGACCUUUGAAAAUUUUUCUUUGAAUUUAAUCAAGUCAAGCAUCAACUAUCGGCGUACCAUUGGUAUUUUGUUCUUUAUACAAGUAUGUUUUCAUUAGUGUCAUAUAAUUAUGGCGAGUUUUGUGUCGUAGACACAAAAAAAAACCAAACCAUUUGACGGGGACGGAUAUAUUUUUAAAUACAAAGGCGGAUCCUAUUUGGGAACGAUAAUAGCAAAAAGCGACAACAAGGAAGAACUUUCUAAUUUAAAGAAUAUAAAAGAAGACGAAGCCAAUAGGCAAGAAACACAGCCAAAACAAAAGAAUACUCAUUCAUCACAAGCGAUGGAAAUUGUAAGGAAUUCUAUAAAAAAUAUGUCAUCGUCCAUAAAUAAUGAAAUGUUACAAAGCUUAAAAACUUUUAGCUUGGUUGCUUACGACACUGAUGAUUAUUUUGUUAUUAACUCAAAAACUAUAACACAACUCCAAGGCAGUGAUUGUGUUGUGAAAUAUAGAGGUGGUUUUUAUUCUGCAAAACUAAUUGCAUCUUAUGCAUCCCCUUUCGGACGGACAAUACGCAAGAGGUGGAGC